UUCUUCUGCUUCUUGAAGGUUGAGGGGUUGAUGCUGUGGAAGACGGACGAGAAGGCACUGCUCGAAAAGCGUGGGGAGGACAGGGGAAAGCUCAUGCUCACGGGCCGCUCUGUAACCAAGACAAGCCAUAGAGGAAUGGAGGACUGCUUUUGUUCUGAGCCUCCCCAGAAAAGUGGUUUCAGGCACCAACCACGGGCCGGCGAGAAGCCACGUGGGCCACCUGGAAGAACGGAGAUGGUGUCCCCAGGUUACCUCUCAUCAUGCCUGGGACAUCCCCGCCCCUCUUCUUCAGCUCCCCAUAGCAGCCAUCACAGACCUUGGCCAUCCGGUCCUUGAGGUAACUGCAUCAAAGAACCAGGUAGCACUGUGGAGUACUACGUAGCAACCAAAAGGAACUGAUGGUACACACGACAGCAUGGGUGAAUUUCGAAGACAUGCCAAGUGAAAGAAGCCAGACACAGAGGAGGAUACACUGUUUCAUAACAUUUAUAUGAAGUACCAGAUGAGGCAAAGCUAACCUGUAGUGAUGGAAAUUAGGCCAGUGGUUGCCUGAACAGGGGGUGGAGGAAGUGAGUGCUAAGAGGCACAGGUGAACAUUCAAGAAAUAUUCUGUAUCUGUGGGGCGCCUGGAUGGCUCAGUCGGUUAAGCGCCGACUUUGGCUCGGGUCGUGAUCUCACGGUUCGUGGGUUCAAGCCCCACAUUGGG